rnacentral:sRNA from 1 species
UUGUCAGUCCUGGAGAGCAAGGUCCUUGUUCAUAGAGCAGAUACAGCAAAGGGAGCAGCUAUGCAAGCUUCCCACACAUUGCUCCCCAUCGUGGACCAUUUCUGGAUAACAUGCGGGGGUGAGAAGGGAAUUUCUCUCUACUCAGUCCUUUACUGCU